UGGAGGACAAACCCAAGGGUCGCCCAGAGGCGACGCAGUGCUUUGGGCUCCUUAGUCUUUGCCAGGGCUUUAGCUGUGAUGAGUACUUGUUUUUCUAAAACUUUACCCUAAUGGUUCUUGAACCCAGAUUUUUAGGCUAGUGACGCAAGACGGCCAGCAACAGCUGGGAACCUUUGAGAAACGCAGGUUCUCAGGCUCCACAAACUUACUGAAUCAGAAACUAUGGGGGCGUUUUUCCAGAUCCUCCAGGUGAUUCAGAUCCAGCCAGUGUAAUUCUACAUUAUGUAUGAAGAAGAGAGAACCAGAAGAAUGAGAAGAUAUACUGCAGGUACUAGCGAUUGAACCCAGGGGCAUUCUACCACUGAACUAUAAAUCCUACCACUGAACUAUAAAUCCUACCCCCAACUCUUAUAUAUAUAUAUAUAUUUUUAGUUUUUGAGACAAGGUCUCUUAAAUUGUGCAGGCUGGUCUGGGAACUUGCAAUUUCUCUACCUUAGCCUCCCGAGUAGCUGGGGUUAUAUGUGUGCUCAAAUUUUUGUUUCAGGGAAGUCCCUCCAGAGAAAAACACAUGACCAGUCCAAAAAAAAAAAAAAUCCUCUGAGUGAUUCUGAGUCAUUCUUCUAGGUGACUAGAGUAAAAAAUUGCUAAUUAUAAUCUCAUUAUAACUCAUGGAACAUGCAUUAGUUUCCCUGAUAAAAUUCCAUUGCCCAUGUAUUUGGGGAGAUACUUCUUUGGUGAUUAUCCCUAGUAUCCUCCUUACUUGUAUAAGUAAUAAACUCCUCUUCACUCUUA